GUUUUGCUGCUGUUGUGAAGGAUCUGCGACCUGUGGGAGUAAAGGGGCAGCCCCAGGAGCAUCAACAGAGGCCAAGAACAGAGGCAAGACCUCCCCCCCGGCACCAGAAAGGACUCAAGUCUAGUUAUGAGAAAGCUACCAGACAAGUCUCCAUAGAAGGCCAUUCUUCAAAAUGAAGACCAGUGCUCUUCAAAACCAUCAAGGUCAUGGAAACUAAGAAAAGUCAGUGAAACUGUCCAGCCCAGAGGAGCCUCAGGAGACUUGAUGACUAAUUGAAACAUGGUAUCCUGGAUGGGAUCCUGGAACAGAAACAUGACAUUAGCCUGCAGAAGAGAUCCCACAGGGACGAGCCAACCCCCACCUUUCCUGGACUUCUCUGGCUGGCCUGCGAACCUUCUUCUCCUGUUUGACACUUUCUCUUUCAUCUGCCUGUGCCUGUGGCUCUUGGGUCCUGCACACGCACCACACCCCGAAGGCAAUGGGACCUAAGACUGAUUUUUAAAAACGCCUGCUUUUUGUUUUUCCCAACUGCAAAAUCCACACAAAAACAGAGAAUAAAUACAAACUGCUUCUACCACCUGAGGAAUGACUGUUAACAUGAUAUUCCACCGUCUAGUAGUUUUCCUUGGCAUGGACGGAUGCAUAAUCUUUUCAAAACGUGAUUUCUGAAGGAAUCGUCUUCCCAAGUCCUCCCCAGACCUCUCCUUUUCCCAUUUGCUCCAAAUAAAUGGGGUGCCACAGACUCAGAAGUUUAUUGGAGAGAGCGAGCGAGCUUACUGCUUUAGACAUUCCCUGUGAUGAGCAUGAAGGAAAUUACUACCUCACCACAUACUUCAAAGAUUUUUCUUUUGUACAAAUAUGACCUGUCAGAUGGCCCUGGCUUCCUAAGCUUCGAGGAAGUUAUUGUGAAAGAGAGUCUUUCUUUCUUUUCUUUAACAAUCAUAAAAGGAAAAUAAGACCCCAGCUGUGUUAGUCCCGAGGCUGAGCGGUUGCUGGGAGAAUGGGAGGCAAACAGGAGCAGACAGUGAGGGGUCCCUCCUCUGCCGGAAGCAUGCAGGGAAGUUUCUAGAUGGCCUCAGGAGGCCUGAUUUGCUGCCCGGUUUCUUGAGCCUUGGAACCCAGAUGAAGCAUUUAUUCUGGUAGCUUCUUAGGUUUCCCUGCCUGGCCACUGAGGUAGUUAAGUGCGAGUUUACUGAGGAUGCCCUCCGGAUGGAUGGGGGAGCCCCAGGCAUCGUGGGCAAUGAAGAACUGCUGUAGACCAGAGCACCCCACUUCCUCACCCCACAUGGCCUGAGGAGUCCUGCCAACAGGUAUUUCCUACUCAGGAGGAUAAACUCUGGGUGGAACUCAGUCGCUGGAAAGCCCAGAAGAUCUUUGGAGGGAGUUCUAGAACAGCAGUUGGCUCAUCUAAUUGGAUAAGAUCGCUUUAAAAAGGACAAUAAAGGUGUUACCCUGACAAAAACAAAGGUGGUUUCUUCUCAGACCCUUUACUGGUCCUUUGUGUCCCUUAAGAAUACUUGAGAGUGGUGGUUCCUGAAGCACGGUCCCAGAUGGCAGGAUCAGCUGGACAGACAUCAAGUUACGACCCCUUUCCCCCUGAACACCAACAGGGCUGUUGUUUAGACCACACCCAUGGAGAGAUGACCAUGAGGGGCUGCAAGCAAAUCCCAUUCUGAUGGAGCUUCGUUUUGGGAAGGCUCAGGAGAAAGACCUUGCUCACAGCUGCCGCAGGGACCCAAGUGUACAAUCGGAACACAGUGGAGGGCGGGUAGCAGCUUUAGGAGCUCACCUUCCUAACGCAAACUCAGCCUUCCCCCUGCUCUUGAUCCAUGUCCCUCUCCCCCAGUUCCCCACCCUCGCUCCCAUUCCUCUCUUCCCACUCUUAAAUUUUCUCUCCUUUCCCUUAGAUGUCCCCUCCACUCUAAAGAAUGCCUCCUUUCAGGGACUAGCCCCCCUCCAUGAAGCCUACCUUGGUUCUCCCCCAUGGAAAGCCUUGCUCCCUUGACUGAACUCCCAUGGCAUUCUGUCCAAAUGAUGCUGAAGCCCUUGGAGCUUCAGGACAGCAAGCUCUGAGUGGCAGUCCCCUCUGUCACCCCCCUAAUGCCUCCUCCAGAAGGAAGGAGAACCCCCUGAGCCUGCCAUGAGCAGUGAGUAAGAAAUCACAGCGAAGAGUGGUGGGGAGGACUCUGAGUGAAGGAGGAUGAAAAGCCACAGAAAUAAAUCAGCAUCUAAAUGGUGACAUGAUCGACCAAGACAAAUUGGCCCCCUCGUUUCCAGUUUAAAGAUUGAUUAUCACAUUAAUGUUAAAUUUUAUUUAAAUGAGCCUAUUUCUUCACAGUGGGCAUUCAGUAAAAUGUCCCUAUGGAACUGAAUACUAGGAGAAAAAGAAUAAAGUCUCAAUGAAGAUGGGAAAUCACUAAAGGUAAAACUAACUGCGUCCAUAAAACUAUCUCUGCAAGACUUACUUCUCUCAUCUCAAAGACGUCCAUCCAUCCCUAUGUUCCUUUUUGCUACUGGCCUGGGUUGCUCGUUUGUGUGAUUAACCAUGAGUUCUUUAAUUUUCUACCACCUGACCAUGCUCCUUUCGGGCAAGGUUCAUCCUCAUCUCCCCAGCCUUCUCUGAUGUUUGCACCUCUCAUUUCAGGAACUAUAACUGCUGAAAGGCAAACUCUGGAUCCCGGGAAUCUAGAACGACCUUUGUUGUUCUAGCUUAUGCCUCACCCCCCCACCCCCGUUUUGUGUUGAUCCACUGAACUUACUUCAACACCCAAAUGUCCAUAACAUCUUGCAUGGUCUAUUGGUGUGAGGCGAGACCUCAGAGAGUCUCUUCACCUCUCUUUCUCCGGAUGGGAGAACUAGCCCCUUCUUCCCAUCCCAGCCCAGUCACAGCUGCCUUUGAUCUUAAGCUGUGUGAAAACAGCCAUUCAAAUUCCAGUCAUUUCCACCGGAGCAAGUGGGGUCAGGACCAGCUAUGCCCCUAGAUGCCCAUGCACCAAGAUGUAAGCAGAGCCCUGGGGUCUGUGAGAAUGGCCAGUGAGAGCCAUCAUGGAUUGGAUCCCUGCCCUAGCCCUGCCCAGCUGUGUGACAGGAGCUGAGCUGCCCUGGCCCUGCCCAGCUGUGUGGCAGGAGCUGAGCUGCACAUGGCCCAGUGUAGCCUCUCCUGGAAAAUCCUCACCUCAAAGGGAGUUUGUGAGGAUUGAAGAAGAGAAGGAGGGAGAGUGCUUAGCAUUGUGUCUGGAACUUAAUAAGCACCCAAUAAAAGAUAGUGCUUGGCUAAUAAUUGUAAUGACUAUAGCAGACUUCCUAAUUGACCUUCUGCUGGGAUCCCUGGUACCUGUGUUUUGCUGUAGUUUGCUGUCACCUAACAGGCUCCCACUGGAUGGCAUUGAAGCCCAUACGGGAACGCAGCUCUCACUGGGGAGUCAUCCCAGAUGGUUUCUGGAGCCUGGACUUUUCCCCUAAGCAUCCGAGUAUCACAUCUAGAUCACCCUGAGGGUGGGACUCCUGGCUUGUAACAGGGACUGUGUCUUCUAGGUUUG